rnacentral:siRNA from 1 species
AGUAUCGCCUCUGUUCGUUGUACA